rnacentral:rRNA from 1 species
AGUCGAACGGACAAUUGUUUAUAUCUUUGGUAUAAAUAAUUGUUAGUGGCAGACGGGUGAGUAAUGCGUAGGAAUCUACCUAGUAGUAUGGAAUAGCCAUUAGAAAUGAUGGGUAAUACUGUAUAAUCCCUGCGGGGGAAAGAUUUAUCGCUAUUAGAUGAGCCUACGUUAGAUUAGCUAGUUGGUAAGGUAAUGGCUUACCAAGGCUAUGAUCUAUAGCUGGUCUGAGAGGACGAUCAGCCACACUGGAACUGAGAUACGGUCCAGACUCCUACGGGAGGCAGCAGUGGGGAAUAUUGGACAAUGGGCGAAAGCCUGAUCCAGCUAUGCCGCGUGAGUGAAGAAGGCCUUCGGGUUGUAAAGCUCUUACAAUAGGGAAGAUAAUGACGGUACCUAUAGAAGAAGUCCCGGUAAACUC